GCCCCUGUAGCUCAAGCGGAUAGAGCCUCUCUCUAACUAAGGGAUCGGUGUGAGUUCGAAUCUCACUGGGGGCG
rnacentral:tRNA from 1 species